rnacentral:hammerhead_ribozyme from 1 species
AUCCAGCCGACGAAUCCCAAGUAGGACGAGACUCGCGUCCUGGAU